rnacentral:rRNA from 1 species
UACGUAGGGAGCAAGCGUUGUCCGGAUUUACUGGGUGUAAAGGGUGCGUAGGCGGCUCGGCAAGUCAGAGGUGAAAUCCAUGGGCUUAACCCAUGAACUGCCUUUGAAACUGUCGAACUUGAGUGAAGUAGAGGUAGGCGGAAUUCCCGGUGUAGCGGUGAAAUGCGUAGAGAUCGGGAGGAACACCAGUGGCGAAGGCGGCCUACUGGGCUUUAACUGACGCUGAGGCACGAAAGCAUGGGUAGCAAACAGG